GUAACACGUGAGUAACCUGCCCUCAUCUCUGGGAUAACAGUCGGAAACGGUUGCUAAUACUGGAUAUGAGCCUGCAAGGCAUCUUGUGGGUUGGAAAGAUUUUUUGGUUGGGGAUGGACUCGCGGCCUAUCAGCUUGUUGGUGAGGUAGUGGCUCACCAAGGCUUCGACGGGUAGCCGGCCUGAGAGGGCGACCGGCCACAUUGGGACUGAGAUACGGCCCAAACUCC
rnacentral:rRNA from 1 species